ACCGCAUUCCCAGUACUCGUACACAACUGUAGUACACAAUUUCACGGGCCCUGUGGGAACUGACAACUCUCGUUCAUCAUGUUCCUUUAAAUCUACUCGAGUGAUCAAGCUCUCAUAUAAAAGGAGCGUCACGGAGCAUGUGCGUCAGUCUGUCACCCGGCCCGCGCACUAAACAACCCGACUCUCAGCACUGAGGGAGCAUUCAGCAGAAUAGAGAGGGAUGGCGCGUGGUGCGGCUCUGGUGGCGACGCUGGUGGUGGUGGUGGUGGUGCUGGUGGCGACUGCUGCUGAUGUGCCAUUCGUUGAUACCAGGGAUGGCCGCGUCUCAGGCAUUGUGGAGGAAUCGGUGAAGGGCCGAGACUUUUCGUCAUUCUACGGCAUUCUCUACGCUCGGCCACCACUGGGGAGGCUGCGAUUCAAGUGUGUCCUUUCUUCCAGGAUCCCGAACCCUUCCCAGACUGGGGGGCCAUGGGGGAAGCCUCCAUUCCCGC